AGCGUUCAUUGAAGUAGAACUUGGCAUUCUUUGAGCCUGACAGGAAGUGUUAGUGCGGGGGUGGCUGAAUGCUACCAUGGAAGUGAACUGCAAGGAAGGAAAGGAUGAAGAACGCUGUAAGGAACAAGGGUGCACCAGACAUAAGGAAAAUAUUUUGAACAUUCAACAAUAGUUUGGUUUUUGCAAAUUACCGAAAUUAACUCCAAAUGCUCCAGUCCCAGAGACGUUCCAUCAGGUACAAUCCCAAAGUCAGGAAUAUGAUGUACCUGGCCGCGCUCUCUAAACCUGUGCGGACCAACUGGCUGGAGUUUUCGGUGGCAUCUUCAAACUCUCACUACUAUAGUAGAAGAUCCCCGCCUGCUACCAUCAGGAAUAAGGUAGAGGAGCCUGAUAAGCAUUACCUCAAGGUUCAAGAACAGCUUCUUCUCAUCAACCAUCAGCUCUUGCCCCACCCUGCACCACAACUCUACCUCCCAGGGGCGG